AUGAAACUAUCUCUUUCAACCCUCCUCCUCCCUUAUAAGGUAAACUACAUGAGAAUAAGAAUUUUUAUUUGUUUUGUUUACUGAUAUUUUUCUCAGUGCCUAAAAAAGUACUGGGUACAUAGUACUCCCUAAAUAUUCAUUUGAAUAGAUUGAGCCUGUGUUUUACAGAUGGAAAAAAUUAAGUCUCACAGUUUCAAUGACUGGCCCAGAGUCACACAGCUGCUUCUCAUUAGAGCCUGUAAUUCACAUCCCCUGCCUCCUUUCCUGCUGUCUCGUCUCUCACAUGCGCCAUGCUUUUCUACAUGAGCAUUUAUUUCUCCCACAUGCCUUCCUAUAAUACAAAAUUGGAUAGUUCUAUCAAUUUACUGAUUUCUCAUGUUUUUAUUUCGGCAAAUGAUUCAACACCACUUACUGCACCCACAUAUCUACACCAAUAGAUCAAUACUGAAUCAUCUUUCAAUUUAUUGGUUCCUACUUUGCUUAGUUCCUGAGUCUUCAGUAAAGCUGAACCUUUCACUUCUCUCUCCUGACAGGGCUAAGCCAAGAUAGAGCUGUGUGAUACGUUUCCCAUCCCAGGACUAGGAACUCAUCAACCAACCCCUGGGUCUCAGAGACUCCUGGGUCAUCUGGGAGGAGGCUUUGAACAGUGAAGCCUACCUUCAACAGUUGAUUCACCAAUUGGGCCUCUGCAAUCCACAGAAUGGCUCUUCUUGGCUCUUUCUCUUUCCUAUCUCAGUUUGUCAUAUUCCCAUUUAAACAUCUGUAAAACCCCGAUUUUGUUUCUAAAAACUAGUCCCUGUAUAUCCUCCAAACUCAUUUUUCUGGCAUUUCAAGUUAGGGUUCAGGAAGACUUGAUGCCCUCACUUAGGGGAGACUAUUCAAAGGGCUGAAAGCUGGGAUGGGCAUCAAGGGAUGCCAGGAUCUCACCCCACACAGAGUAUCCAGAUCACCAAGUUAUGCAAAAACAUUGACUUACUGAAUUUAGUCCAUUUAAAAAAAUAAGAGUGGAUUAUGUUUUUGGCAAGACCUCUGUCAUCUGUUCUCUUUCUUUACUUAGCUUUCUUUUAGGUCAAAGACAGUAGGGCACAGGGUAAUAAAAAAUGUUUCUUUCAUUCUUAAUACUAUUAUUUAUCCACCCCCCCAUGCUUCUAGAGCAGUGUUUUCAAUAGGGCCAUCCUGCCAAUCCAGGAGGCAUUUGGUAAUGUGUGCAGACAUUUUUUUGUUGUCACAGCCGGGGUGGGGCAUGGUAAGAGGUGCUUCCAGCAUCUGGUGGGGAGAGGCCAGGGAUGCUCCUAAUUGUCCUGCAACAGAGAAGACGUCUCCACGACCAAGAACUGUUCUGCUCCAGAUGUCACCAGUGCUGAGGCUGAGAGAGUGUGUGUGCUCCAGACAACAUGCCCUGGCUAGCCAGAUGGGAAAGCUCAUGAAGGCAAACCUAAAAACCUCAGGACUAUGCCCAUCAGAACUUGGAACCCAAGAUGCCAUGACAUUUCCCGGGAAAACAUGAAAUACACUGUCUGAGAUUGUGACGCUCAUCUUAAAUGGAAAAUGGAUUUAAAUCUCGGUAGGACAAAGACAAUGAACGUGGCUCAGAAUCCCUCAUGUACAUGUCUUACAGCCUUGAGCCCCUUUUCAGGAUGGAGCAUCAAUACUCUCAAAAGGUAAAGACAAGCAGUAGAUCCCUUGCUGCUCAAAGGGCGAUUCCUGGAGGAGCAGCAGCAGCAGCAUCUGGGAACUUGUUGGAAAUACAGACUCUAAGUCCAUUCCAGACGAGCUACAUCAGAAUCUGCACUUUAACAAGAGUCCCAGGUGACAUGUAUGCACAUUAAAGUAUGAGAAACGCUGGCAAAACCAUUACUAGAUUCCCAGGUGUUGGUAAAUGAAAUGAAUGUUUUUAAUAUUUUGUCUGUUUGGAAGUGUCUUAAACAAAUGGCAUAAGAGUUUGGCCAGAGUUACACACCAGUCCUGAAGAGCUACUCUGUUCAAUUACAGCCCCUGCAGUUAUCAAGAGCCACAAUUGCAGAGCACAUUCUUGAUUUUAAAUAUGGUCAUCCUGUGGGUAUACAAAUUGGCUCUCCCAGACAGCGGCACAAUUAAAAGGCAGCUUCCGAAUUCAUUACUUACUUUCAUGUCAUCAGCCCAGCCACACACUUCACUGCUCUUCAUUCUGCCCCUGCAUCAGGAUUGCUAUGCACUGCUCAGAGUAUAAUCACGCUAUCAAUGAACCGUGAAUGCAAAC
rnacentral:lncRNA from 10 species